rnacentral:rRNA from 1 species
CCAAUAGCGUAUAUUAAAGUUGUUGCAGUUAAAAAGCUCGUAGUUGAAUUUCGAGACCGGUUUACUGGUCGUGCUUUUGUACGUACUGGUAUAAUCGGUUUCUCUUUUCUGACGAACUAUAAUGCCAUUAAUUUGGUGUUAUAGGGAAUCAGGACUGUUACUUUGAAAAAAUUAGAGUGUUUAAAGCAGGCUCACGCUUGAAUACAUUAGCAUGGAAUAA